rnacentral:pre_miRNA from 1 species
UCUUAUGAAUGAGCAAAGAAAGUGGUUUCUUGAGAUGCAAUCUACUACUGGUGAAGAUUAUGUGAA